rnacentral:rRNA from 1 species
CUGCCCACCGCUUGGGGAUAACCUUGCGAAAGUAAGACUAAUACCCAAUGACGUCUCUAGAAGACAUCUGAAAGAGAUUAAAGAUUUAUCGGUGAUGGAUGGGGAUGCGUCUGAUUAGCUUGUUGGCGGGGUAACGGCCCACCAAGGCAACGAUCAGUAGGGGUUCUGAGAGGAAGGUCCCCCACAUUGGAACUGAGACACGGACCAAACUCCUACGGGAGGCAGCAGUGAGGAAUAUUGGUCAAUGGACGAGAGUCUGAACCAGCCAAGUAGCGUGCAGGAUGACGGCCCUAUGGGUUGUAAACUGCUUUUAUAAGGGAAUAAAGUGAGUCUCGUGAGACUUUUUGCAUGUACCUUAUGAAUAAGGACCGGCUAAUUCCGUGCCAGCAGCCGCGGUAAUACGGAAGGUCCGGGCGUUAUCCGGAUUUAUUGGGUUUAAAGGGAGCGUAGGCCGGAGAUUAAGCGUGUUGUGAAAUGUAGACGCUCAACGUCUGCACUGCAGCGCGAACUGGUUUCCUUGAGUACGCACAAAGUGGGCGGAAUUCGUGGUGUAGCGGUGAAAUGCUUAGAUAUCACGAAGAACUCCGAUUGCGAAGGCAGCUCACUGGAGCGCAACUGACGCUGAAGCUCGAAAGUGCGGGUAUCGAACAGGAUUAGAUACCCUGGUAGUCCGCACGGUAAACGAUGGAUGCCCGCUGUUGGUUUGAAUAGGUCA